UCAGUCACAGUCUGCUGGUCUGCAGCUCCAGUGGUCAGGCAGGAGUUCAUUCUUUUCUGGUGUCUUUGUCUGAAUGUUUUUCUGAGGGCCAGACAAUCCUUUCAACUCUGAAACCUCAGUCUCUGCCUCGUCUCUGUCUCCGAUCCAGGGCUGUGAUUCUGCGCUGAACUGGUCACACCAUCGUUCAAGCGGCUCCUCCUGCCUACAGACGGACGUUUUCCCAGAAGUCCAUGGAACCCAGCAGUGACCUGAAGUUACCAAGUCUCUGGGAUGUAUUGUGGCAGACUUUAAAUGUGAGGAAGAGAAACUCUCAUCACCCAUCACCUCUGUGAGAUGAAAGGCCCCAAAAGCAGCCAGCCACCCUGCUGGACACAGCUCAGCUGUUAUAAGAAGUGUCUGACAGAAGUGGCAGACAAAGGGUUACUGCACAGAAAAGAAACAAGAAGAACCCAUCCUCUUGUUAUCCUGAUGCAAUUAGAGCCCAUGAGUGGCCCUCAAAUGCCAGUUAAAGUCUGGAGGAUGUCAUCCAAACUUUGUUAUGGCUCCCUGUGUCAGAUAAACUAAGUUUGCCAAGCUUGGAAGUCAAAGUCGAGGUGAUGUGGGAUGAGAAAGGAAAGAGAAGUGUUGGGGGCUUGUACAGAAGCUUAAGGAUGGUUUGUAUCACCUGCAUGGAGCAAAAUUUUCCAAAUACAAGCACCACACCUCAAAUCAACUCCCGGGAUACUGAUAGUGGACUUCCGGAGGUGCAGAGAAGUACA